rfam:Beta vulgaris subsp. vulgaris Bvchr4.sca001.con0072.1, whole genome shotgun sequence.
UAGCACAUGAUGAUUUCUUCGGAUUCCCCUUCAAGACUUAAUGGAUGAUGUGAACUCCGAGUAUCUGAUGCG